CUCUUUCUUCAGGGAUUAUGCCCCAAAUAGGGGGAGUUAGGAGGAAAAUUCUCCCAUGGUCAGGGGAAAUUUGUCCAUAAUGAGGAUGCUGGCAAUUGUCUGUCUGUGAAGCAUCUGCUACUGCCUCAACCCAAUUAUUAGAGUAGAUGGACCACUGGUCUGUUUUGCUAUGACAGCUGUUCUGCUCCCCAUCAGAGCCCCCGUGAGCGCUACUGGCAUUUAGUGCUGUUACAAGUUAAUGACAGUCCCUCCCUCUCCUCCCUCCAUGUCUGUUUUAUUACAAGAAAAAAACCAGAGGCAAAGUACUGACUGGUGAGAAGUACCGGAUGUUUGGCCUGGUCCUGGAGGGGUUGCACAGAUAGGCUCAGUCCUAGCUCCUCUUUAGAAGUGCUUUGUCCUUUGACAACACUCUACCUGGCGCAGACAAAAUGUUCAAGGUGUCCAAAUUACAGGGCUCUUCUCUGGGGCCAGGAACUUGUCUAUGAAAAGUAGGCAGCAGCUGUCAUCUCCUUCUUCCUGUUCUCAGCCUCCUCUAUCCCUGAGUCAGUAUCCCCUCGUGGUUUUGCAGGUUAUGUGCGUCUGGGAUGCCUGUCUUUUCUCCGAGUGGAGUAGCUGUGCCAGGCUGCCAUCCCUCUGGAACGUCCUCCUCUAGCUGACACCUUCAACUCUGCAAGUGACUUCCUUUAAAGACCGCCAACUAGAUUAGUAAAUAAACUGAACUCUGAUGAUGUAACCAAAGCUGGUUUCCUGCUCUUCUCCAGCCCUCUUCUCUCCCUUCAGCGGUAACGUUUCACACAGGGCGCGUUUAACUUUUGGAUCAGUUUGAGGAUGUCCGUACGCCCUCCACAGCAAACACCACGCGAGGUAACCAGAGCAGUUCACCACUUAAAAUCAUCCCUCAGCGCCCUGCCGAGCUGCCUCCUUAUGUUCCGGGUUACAACAUGGGAGUUCCUGAAGGGGCGUUCCUUUCAAAUCCUUCCCCUGCUCCCCACUGCAUGGUCCAAAUGAAAAGGGACUUCUUCUGAGUCGGGUUUAUAAGUCCGAGCACUCCUCCCGGGCCAGAAGAGGCCUUCCAGGGCUGAAGUGGUGGGCGGAGUCUGCAAGGCGGAUGGCUUUUUAGGUUGCAUAGUGAUCGAAACUUCCCAGAUACUCCAGAGCUGCCUGGUAACAGAACUGAUAUUCAUCCUAGGCGAGGCCAAGAGAGACAAUCAGCGUGUUAGUGGCUGUGGAACACCUACCCAGACAUUCUAACGCACACGGUCAUCGCUCGCCGCGUCAGCUUUUCUGCUGUUGGGCGGGGACCAGAACAGCCCCUGCAAGAACACUGGGUGUACUGGAAAUGAAGAAACGUUCUCAGACAGCCCCAGAUCCGAGCAAACACUCGUAUGGAUCAUGGAGCUCCACAGGAUGAUAAAUGCCCGUGUAAAACUGGGACAACCAUGCCUGCCUUUCAUAAAGCGCCUACAUCCAUGGUUAACUGACAGCCAGGCUGGGUCCUGGUCCCACAGGCAGGGUGAGGUCAGAAUCUGCUACUGCAGUGGUUCUCAACUGGGGGGUACAUCAACUCAGCUAGAGAUUUGCUUAGUUUUACAACAGGCUACAUAAAACGCACUAGCGAAGUCAGUACAAACUAACAUUUCAUACAGACCCUGACUUGUUUAUACUCCUCUGUGCUGUACACUGAAAUGUAAGUAUCAUAUUCAUAUUCCACUUGAUUUAUUUUACAAUUAUAUGGUGAAAAUGAGCAAUUUUUCAGUAA